rnacentral:rRNA from 1 species
UUUACAACUCUCGGCAACGGAUAUCUCGGCUCUUGCAUCGAUGAAGAACGCAGCGAAAUGCGAUAAGUGGUGUGAAUUGCAGAAUCCCGUGAACCAUCGAGUCUUUGAACGCAAGUUGCGCUCGAGGCCGUCAGGCUAAGGGCACGCCUGCCUGGGCGUUGUGU